GAGGAUUUAUAUUUACAAAAAUGUUGAUAUAUAACAUAGGUGAUAUCAAUUGUGGCAGUUUCCAUUAACAUAGUCAUUACAAGAAUUCAAUGGAAUGUAUGCAUCAUGUCUCAUCAUAUACUUGUUAUCUGUAACUUUUAAAUUACUGCAAGGUUUCCUGCAUUGGAAUUUGGGGCUGAGAAUAUAGUGAUCGUGAGAUACAAGAAAGGGAGAAUUGUUGAGGUCCUGAGCAAGAAUGAGGUGCCAUCAGGCUCAUGGCAUUGUGCUGAGAUAAUCUGUGGUAAUGGGCACAACUACACUGUUAGAUACGAGAUGGGCCCUGCUGCUACCGAUGAGGCGAUUGUUGAAAGGGUAUCUAGGAAGUCAAUUAGUCCCUGUCCUCCUCCAGUGAAACUAUCGGAGAAUUGUGUUCCUGGUGAUGUUGCAGAGGUGUUUCAGAAUUUUUCUUGGAAGAUGGCAACUGUUUCUAAGGUUUUGGGUAGGAAUUGCUUUUUGGUUAGGUUACUUGGAUCCUCCCAUGAAUUCAAAGUCAGUAAAGUUGACCUCCGGGUGCGACAAUCUUGGCAGGGUGGCAAAUGGUUCGUGAUUGGAAAGGUAGUUUUAUCUGAAUCUGUUUUAGGCUUGCAACUCAAAUAUUCCAGUGUCCGGUCUUUAUUUAUGUAUUAUUUAGGAGUUCUUGUUUUGAAUUCUCUUGCUUCCGCUAAAAUUUUCAUCUUCUGCUUCCCAAAUUUUCCACAAAUCCGUUUAUAGCUGAUACUCUUAUGCGGAUAUAAUAAGUUAACACUUGAGAAUAAUUAGAUUCAAGUUUAUUUGGAUAUGUUAUUAGUGACAUUUGAACUAGUUGAUUUAUUUUGGGGCUUCUAGAGCAAUAUUGAUCUUGUUCUUUUUUUUUUUGUUGUCAUACAAUUUAACAAUA